rnacentral:rRNA from 1 species
UACAGAGGUGGCAAGCGUUGUUCGGAAUUACUGGGCGUAAAGGGCGCGUAGGCGGCCUUCUAAGUCGGACGUGAAAGCCCCAGGCUUAACCUGGGAACUGCGUCCGAUACUGGGAGGCUUGGAUUCGGGAGAGGGAUGUGGAAUUCCAGGUGUAGCGGUGAAAUGCGCAGAUAUCAGGAGGAACACCGGUGGCGAAGGCGGUGGUCUGGGCCGGUACUGACGCUGAGGAGCGAAAGCGUGGGGAGCGAACAGG